rnacentral:tRNA from 1 species
GCCUGGGUGGCUCAGUCAGCAAAGCGUCUGACUUCGGCUCAGGUCAUGAUCUCACGGUUUGUGGGUUCGAGCCCUGCAUCGGGCU